AUUGAACGCUGGCGGCAUGCCUUACACAUGCAAGUCGAACGGUAACAGGUCUUCGGAUGCUGACGAGUGGCGAACGGGUGAGUAAUACAUCGGAACGUGCCCGAUCGUGGGGGAUAACGAGGCGAAAGCUUUGCUAAUACCGCAUACGAUCUACGGAUGAAAGCGGGGGAUCUUCGGACCUCGCGCGGACGGAGCGGCCGAUGGCCGCGUAGGUAGUUGGUGGGAUAAAAGCUUACCAAGCCGACGAUCUGUAGCUGGUCUGAGAGGAUGAUCAGCCACACUAGGACGGAGACACGGCCCAGACUCCUGCGGGAGGCAGCAGUGGGGAAUUGUGGACAAUGGGCGAAAGCCUGAUACAGCCAUGCCGCGUGCAGGAUGAAGGCCUUCGGGUUGUAAACUGCUUUUGUACGGAACGAAAAGCCUCUUUCUAAUAAAGAGGGGUCAUGACGGUACCGUAAGAAUAAGCACCGGCUAACUACGUG
rnacentral:rRNA from 1 species